CACCCCAUGCUGCGCCCCCACACGGACAGCACCCCCGUCACCCGGCACCACACCACCGAGGUCCGGCUCGUGGACCCCCUCAUGCUGGACACCGCCCCACCCAAGACCAGGAUGAUGAGGAAGGCAUUUGGGCAUAACCAUUUCCAAAAACCAAAGCUCUUAUGUUGUUUUGUUGGGAUGAUUCAGUCACUACUGGAGGAGCACAGCCAUGCCAUGAUGCUGAAACGACACACUGUCCAUCUGACCAGACAUCUGACCGGACCUUACCUUCAAUCUGUUGCCUUUGCUGGAGAGGGCUGCCAUUUUGUGUCAGUUCAGUGGCAGGGGUGGAGACAUUUGACUGGGAGGGCCAGGCGAAGAGAUUGAUGGCUGAGCAGAUGAUUGGGCUAAAGACUGGGGCAGGACUAGAGCGUGGACCUUGACACAUGGAUACAUAUCCACCUCCUGACAUUUUAUGCCAGUGGAAAGGAAUUUCUUCUUCCACCUAUACAACCAUUGUGCAGGAUCGGCAAUCACCUCCAUGAAAGUCUUAUCCUUCCAGUUGAUGAUGUAUCAGUGGUCAGCUUACCUAUAGACUACCAGCUGCUCCUGCGCCCUCCCAACAUCUGCCUGGUUCUGCCCAGCUCACGCCAUUUGCCUAUCAUCCUGUCCAUAUCUGCCUGGCUCCACCCCUCUCACUGCCUCUGAUCUGCCAAGCUAAUGUUUUCCCCACCCGCACAGUCACAUGACCCCAUCCACGACCCCCACAGACAGUUCUUGUCUGGUUCCACUGCCGCUGUUUCUCUCCUUUCUUCUUCGCGAUUCCCUUGUCGAGAUUAACUUCAUGUAUUCAUUCAUUUACUUCCUUCAGUUUUGGUUUUUAUCGUAAUUUACAUUUCGGCGAAAUGCGGUAGCCUGCCAACUUUACAUGGAAACAUUUGUUUGCCUUGCCUUUAUAACUCUCUCGCCACACUGCACAUUUGUUGUUACAUAUCAGGGAAGCAGAAAUCAGAGCAGUUCUGCCCCCUAGUGGCCUCCUCCAGUAAGCCUCCCAUCAGUAAGGCCUUACAAGCAGCACAGCCUCCCAGGCAUGGGAGAAGUGAAGGGGCCACUCUGGUCUGUCCCAUACAUGUUGUUACCUCAGUUCAGCAUUCUGAAGCAGUCAACCUCUAUGCAGUCUUCAGAGGGGUUUGUGCCGUUGCUUUCAGCUUGAGUACAAGUUUGAGUACAAGUCAGAGAAGUUUUUAUUUGUGUGUGUAUGUGUGUGUGUGUGUCACAUUUACCACUCAAACAAAAUAGUAUUGAAUCACACUGGUCAGUUUUGGACUUUGGACGUUUUGAGCAUUCUCCUUUUCAGAGUGUGUUCUUGUGGCUCUCCAAGAUCCUGCACCUAUGCACCUCUUCCAGGGUAUAUUUCUAAUGGUGCUUCAACUGGUGCUCCAACACACGAAGGCAUCAGCCCCAGCAGUCACGAUGACACAUCUAAUGUAAUCUGAACCACAAACUAAAACACCAGGUGAUCCCGCAGACUUACAGGCAACAGUCGAGCUGUUUGUUCAGUCAGCUUGUUGCUUUAUCCUCUCCAGUCCAGUCCUCUGGUCAAAUCACUUUUUUUUUUAACAUAAAAGCAGCCGUCGUCAUGGAUCUUCAGUGUUUCAGGAUUCCAGGGCAGUAGAAGUAUAAAAAAAGAAUCUAAACAAACAAAAAAGAACGAUUGAUUCCUUUCAGCUCCUACAAAUUCAUCUACUGGUUUCUCAUCUACAGCACAGGUCACCUUGCUGGGAGUCACGUCCUUAGAAUUGGGUCAUUGUUUUGAAUCGUUCAGGGUCAGCUCUCCUCAGAGGACCUAUCUGUUCUAUGAGAUGUGGUGUAUGUGCGUGGGAAUCUGUAGCCUGUAGGGUUGGUGCCCCUUUAGUCGCUAGUGCGGGUCAGUCCCCACAACAGUAUGACCAAGUCCCUUAGCCCCGCAUUCAUUUUGUUCAGCUCAUCUUAGAGCUGUUGCACUGAACCCAACCCUAUCUCUGUGACUUCUUAGUGUCCCUUUGACCUUGGUGGCCUGUGCCUCGAGACAUUAUAUGUACACAUAUAUAAAUAUACAUAGAUAAAUAUAUAUAAAAAAAAAUAGAUAUAUAUAAAAUGUGUCUUUACGUGCUCAGAAAAUUGUGACUUUAAAAAUAAUUAGAAUGAGAACAGAACUUUUAUUUGUUUCCAGUGUGGCCCUCAGUAUUCUAACCCCUCCUUCUGUUGAGACUGGUGUUUGUCAGAGAGUGAGUGUGUGUGUUUUAUUUAUUUAGCAUUUAGCCUCAGAGAUCUUUUUCUGAGCAUGAAGUGGCUUAUAGGAGAAAGUUCCCUGGUCUGGCAACAGAUAUAUAUGUCAGAGUUUUGCUCAUGGGCCUUAGCUGCUGUUCCCUGAGAUGUUCUUCAUCUCAAACAUAGGGCCAAAUGUCAUAUUACAAUGCUGGUUGCAGAGUAUGAAUUGGAUUUGAUUGGAUCUCCUCUUUAUCUUCAUUUUGUACAAGUAUCUUGCUGUACUGGUGACCUUAACAGGUACCGUCAUCAUAUCACUGAGGUCACAUGAGCAUUUAAUGCUCAUCCCAAACAAAGAGUUAGUUGAUAAUGUCUGCUUCCAGUAGGACAUUAUGAUGUGUCCUAGUCCUGCCACAUAAAAUGAAUUAAUGGUAAAGUUAACUAAAAACUCACUGUUUCUUGGUGUCCCCAAAGCACUAUCACUUGGGUUGCAAUGCAAGUAGUCAUUGCCAAGAUUUGAUUAGAAAUCUGUGAUGCAGCAGUAGCAAUGAGACAAAUUCAGCAGAACAGUGAACCCAAUCAUGCACUGGUGAGUGAGGAUUGUCACCAAUACUGUUAAAGUGGAAGUUUAAACACCUCAGUCACUGAGGCAUUGCCUACUGUUUUUUUUUUUCUGUUUCACUUUGUGUUUGUUUGUUUGUUUGUUGUUGUCCCUCUGCUGUUCCUCUCAGCUGUUGUGAGGUCUUAUGUGGACCAUGUCUGUCUGGGUGUUUUUAGAAUAGGACACCAUCAAAUUCAUUCCGUGUAAAACAAUAAAGGAAAAAAAGCAGAUUAUUAGACUGUUAAUGCUUCUUCUCGGAAGCCCUUCCAAAGGGUUGUUUGCUCUUCCAUGUUGACCGGUGUUGUGGCCGUCGUACCAGAGUUCUCUGUUCACUGUGAAAGCCCCUUGUUCUCUGUUGGGUGGAUGUAUGUUAUUCAGAAUAUGUCUGUCAAAGUGACAGUCAAAGAGCACUGCGGGUGGCACCUUUGGGUAGUGUCAUUUGUUUUUCUGUUUUUGUGGUUCUGUGUUGGUCAGUAAUUAAAGUUAGUAGCAUGUCUGCAAAUUAGGCAAUGCAAGAAGACAGGGGAACGUCCAAACCUUUCACUUUAACUUAAGGAGGAUAGGUAUGUUUUUUUUUCUCUCCUCCCUGUUCAGGUCCUUUACCACUGAAUACUUGAAGUAGGGGCAUUCUCCUACCCUGACAUUAUUAUAUAGUGUACAUGGUAGAAGAAAGAAAAUCACAAAAUUGUGCUGUUGCAUGAUCAUUUUUACUUAACGUGCCAACUAAUGUGAGCAACGAUUUAGGAAUACUGUCUUGGCCUCUAUGCACAGCACGGUAUCUCAGUGCACCAUGUGUGGGAAAGGAUGGGGGGCUGUAUCCACUGGCUCAAUAAAACUACAAAUUCUUAGCCAUGGGAUGACAGACUUCAUGUCGUACAAAAGGCCUGGGGGUAUGAAAAAAAUAUAUCAAAGAAACGUGUGACACUUCCUGUGUAUGUUUGGAUUUUCUUGCCCAGUUGCUUUUUUGUUUUCUUUAAUGAUGUCAAAAAUGCAAACCUCUGGAUGAAGCAAAACACUGUGACCAAUGCCAGAAACAUGUUUUUUGUUUUCACUUUUUUAAAAAGACAAUUGGUUUAUAUAUUUGUUUUUUUCUAUUUUGUUAUUUCUAUGGUUUAAGCAUUUGAAUAUGUACGUUUGAGAUUGUAAUACUUGUAUAUGUAAAUGUUUUUGCGUUGUACAGUAAUGAUUUCAAUCCAAGUUUAAUGUGAGCGUCCAGCAUGCUGAAUGAUUACUUGUGUGAACGUGGGGUCAAGUCCCAUGAUGCAUCAGUCCUCAUACAAUAAAAGGCAUCUGCAUCGUGCUGGUGGUGUGAUGUGUUUGAGAGUGGGGUGUCCUCUCUCCUGUUGUAUCCCCAUAGGUGGACAGCUUGUGCAUUUUUUUUUCCCAAUGAAAGUAAGUUUGCAUGUCUCUGGGGUGGUGUUGUUCAGUGAGCUGGAGAAAUGAGCCGACGGUGCAUGAGUUUGUGAGGGUGUGUGUGUGUGUGUGUGUGUGUGGUCGGGUGGGUGUAGUUUGUGUGUGGGUGAAUAUUAAAGAGGAGCUGAAACUCUCCAUCAGAGGAGACAGAGGGGGAGAGUUUGACUGAUAUUAUUCAGCAUGGGUACUGUGUGUCAUGUUUGGUGUUUUGAAAUCCAAUGAGGCUGUCUCAAGGGACACCAAGCCCCAAUCCACCCCUGGUGUUUGCUAUUGUGUGUGUUCUAUCAGAAUAUUACUGAGUGUUGGCCAGCUUGUUUAUAUCCAUUCAAUAAAGGUGAAUUUCUUUCUGAA